rnacentral:rRNA from 1 species
AUGGCCAUGGCCGAGCUCAUUGAGCCAGUAGUAUUUCCUCCUCUCUACCCACUCCUCCUUCCUCUGCUCGUCAUCGUCCCCUUGCUCUACCUGGUCCGGUCGUCGCCGCGUCAGAACAGAGGAACCCAACGGCGGCUGCCGCCGUCGCCGUGGGCGCUCCCCGUCAUCGGCCACCUCCACCAUCUCGCCGGCGCGCUCCCGCACCGCGCCAUGCGGGACCUGUCGCGCCGCCACGGCCCGCUCAUGCUGCUCCGGCUCUGCGAGCUGCGCAUCGUCGUCGCCUCCUCCGCGGGCGCCGCGCGGGAGAUGCUGAGGACCCACGACCUCGCGUUCGCCGGCCGCCCCAUGACGCCCACGGGGAGGGUCCUCCUCGGGGACAGCCUCGGCGUCAUCGCCGCGCCCUACGGCCGCGCGUGGCGGCAGCUCCGCGUGAUCUGCACCCUCGAGCUCCUCACCGCCCGCCGCGUCCGCUCCUUUGCCCCCGUGCGCGCGGAGGAGGUCGGCCGGCUGCUCCGCUCCCUGGCGCCGGAGCCGGGCUCGGCUCCGGCAGCGGUGAACCUGAGCGAGAGGAUCGCCGCGUGCGUGGCGGACUCGGCGGUGCGCGCCAUCGUCGGCAGCCGGUUCGCGAACCGUGGCGCGUUCCUGCGGCUGCUGGAGCGGAGGAUGAAGCUCGUGCCGGCCAAGUGCCUGCCGGACCUCUUCCCGUCGUCACGGCUGGCGAUGCUUGUCAGCUCGAUGCCGCGCCGGAUUAGGAGGGAGCGCCGCGAGAUGAUGGAGUUCGUCGACGCCAUCGUCCGCGAGCACCAGCAGAACAGGGUGGCCGCCGGCGACGACGAGGACCUGCUCGAUGUCCUCCUCAGGGUCCAAAGCGAGGGCGAGCUCGAUCCUCCCCUCACCGACGACGACGUCAAGACCGUUAUCAUCGACAUGUUCAUGGCGGGCAGCGAGACGUCGGCGACGUUGCUGCAGUGGGCGAUGGCGGAGCUCGUGAAGAACCCGGGAGCGAUGCGCAAGGCGCAGGAGGAGGUCCGGCGGGAGGUGUCCGGGCGCGUCACGGAGGACGUCCUGGGGAGCCUCGGCUACCUGGGCCUGGUCAUCAAGGAGACGCUCCGGCUGCACCCUCCGGCGACGCUGAUCCUGCGCGAGUGCCGGGCCGCGUGCCGGGUGCUGGGGUUCGACGUGCCGGCGGGGGCGAUGGUGCUGGUGAACGCGUGGGCCGUCGGCCGGGACGCGGGCAGCUGGGGCGCCGACGCCGAGGAGUUCCGGCCGGAGCGGUUCGACGGCAGCGGCGUGGACUUCAGGGGCACGGACUUCGAGUACAUCCCGUUCGGCGCCGGGCGGCGGAUGUGCCCAGGGGUGGCGUUCGGGCUGGCCAACGUGGAGCUCGCGCUCGCCAGCCUCCUGCACCACUUCGACUGGGAGCUGCCGGAGCCCGGGGAGGAGCUGGACAUGGCCGAGGCCAUGGGACUCACCACGCGGCGGCGCUCCGAUCUCCUCCUUGUUCCCAAGCUCCGCGUGCCUCUGCCUUGUUGA